GACAGAGGGUGCAACCGUUGUUCGGAAUUACUGGGCGUAAAGGGCGCGUAGGCGGUUCGUUAAGUCCUGUGUGAAAUCCCCCGGCUCAACUGGGGAACUGCACAGGAAACUAGCGGGCUUGAGUUCGGGAGAGGGAAGCGGAAUUCCGGGUGUAGCGGUGAAAUGCGUAGAUAUCCGGAGGAACACCGGUGGCGAAGGCGGCUUCCUGGACCGACACUGACGCUGAGGCGCGAAAGCUAGGGGAGCAAACGGG
rnacentral:rRNA from 1 species